UGGCGUUUUAUCUGAGAAGCUCGAAAGGAGUAUGGAUAAGAGAGACGGUCAGACCAUUACAGGAUUGAUUAAUGGAUUAAAUCUGGAACGGGUCGAUGUCUUUCAGCUGCAGCAUAUUGUGCAUCAAGACACUGAAGUACAGCCAGAACACUCACUGGAGGAAAAGAAGCAUCAGCCCCAUGCCAGUGCACUGUUAUGUAAUGUUGUCAUUAACAUGCAGGUGUGGACACUAUAAAAGCAGCCUUCUGUACAGUGAACUACAAACAGAGCAAGAUAUCAGCAGUGAUGCUUUAAAACAAUCAUCAAGAGAGCAGUCUCAUUAGGAGGUUCAUUUAGAGGCUGUUUCAGAACUUUCAAUCACAUCACUUUAAAAAAACACGGCCGUGUAAAAGGCCAUGAGGAGAAGAACGGCUGUGUCUCUGCAGGACGAGAUGUGAUCAGACUAAACUCAAGUUACUGCUCGUGAAUCAACGAGCUGUCAAAGUCGUUCCAUGUUUGUUUUUCUUUAGCCACCCCGAUGGUAAUAUUUCUGUAUUCUCAGCAACCGUGACCUUUACUUUUAGCAGCAAGAGACAAGAAAAUCUGUAACAGGAACACGUGAGUAAGCGAAACAGAAAGUUAUUCCAGUCUCUGAUAUAGUGACCUGAAAAGGGUUCAUCUAACAGUCAAGAUCAUUGCUUACUUUUGGCUACCCCAGUUAUCUUAGUGAGUAUCUAAUUCAAGUCACUGGAGCUGACAGUGUUUAACCCUCCACCUGUGUUAGCUUUUACUGCACACCCACCAUGUUAAGGGUCAGUUUUGACCCGUGUCUUAAAUCAGCUGUAAAUUACACUAAAAACAAUUCUCUAUCAUCCAAUUUGGUUCUCAUUACUAAGUUACCUUGUUAGGCUUCAUUAUCCAUGAAAAUAUUGAUUACAAUAUUUUUUGUUGUGGGCCUCUCUUUGUCAAUAUACCCCUCAUACAGACAUUCAUUCAUUCAUUUUCCACCGCUUAUUCCCAUUGGGGUUGUGGGGGGGCUGGAGCCUAUCCCAAUAUCUUCAGGUGAAGGCAGAGGACACCCUGGACAAGUCACCAGCUCAUCACAGGGCCAACAUAUAGAGACGAACAACCAUCCACACUCACAUUCACACCUAUGGCCAAUUACUUUAACCCCACUUCUGCAUGUUUUUGGGAUGUGGGAGGAAAUCUGAGUAAACCCACGCUGACACAGGAAGAACAUGCAAACUCUACACAGAAACGCCCUGGCCCGGAUUUGAACCCAGGACCUUCUUGCUGUGAGGCGACAGUGCUAACCACUACACCACUGUGCUGCCCCUCAUACAGACAUCUAUAGUGAAGUGAUCUCACAUGUCUGGACAUGUCCAAUGUUGUUUUUUGUGCAGAGAAAAACAUGUGUGGUGCCUUACAGUAUGAUUUCACUUUUUGCUCAAAUUAUUAGAUAUUGAUCUAACCGGGUCAUUCUCUUUGAUGGUCUUUUUUUAUAGAGUUAUCCAAAUUAGUUGAAGUCUUUUCUUCAUAAUCAGCUAAACAGUCAAUUUAAAUGCUUUAGGGUUAGGGAGCUGCGGUCAAUUCCUUCUUAAAAAUCUGACAACGUUGGCACCAGCUGAAGAGUCUGUGUUGAGCUUUGUUUGAAGUUAAAACUGAGGAGCCGAACUUCAGGGGUGAAGAUUAGCCACAUCCAGUGUUUGCAGCUGCAGCAGAGCGUGGCCUUCAGCUUCAACAAUACUCUUAUUUUCCAGAGCGUAGCAGAUCUGAAAGCAAAACUCUGAGAUGCUGAAACUACCAGCCAAAACUCUGGGAGUUUUUCUUGAAUAUCAAUAUAUAUUUAAAGCAAUCACACAGCACUCAGGGAAUCAGCGCAGAGAGCAGGAGAGAUGAGGAGGACUGCGGGUUUUACAUGUUUUUCUCCUCAUGAUUGAGGUUGAUGGAGGAUCCCUCUACCAUAAGAAAAGGGCCCCCCGUGUGACUCCUUAUAGAAAAAGGCCGCCAGAUGUGGUGGGUCACAGCUGUGAUUGUGCGUCAUUGAUAAUUGUCAGCGGUCUCAUAAGAGUGGUUCCCUGUGGGGUAUUUCUACCAGUCUUACUUUCAGAGCGUAUGCUAACCACAGGGAUUGACUGGACUGAGGACAGCUAAUGACUAACCUUGAUGGAAUCUAGGUGGGCUGAAUGUUGAAGAGUAUUGGACAUUUCUACAAUGAAAUCAGCUGGUUCCUGAAAAGACUCAAAGUGUUCACAAAUGAACGCGUCAAUAUCAAGACUACUUAUUAGACACGGGAGGGAACAUUUGAAAGGGCGAUGAAAAGGUAAUUUCUCUGUGAACAGAAAUUAGAUUGUGGAAAUACUUUGAAUAGCUUUAUGUCAUGUUUUCUGAGAAAUUCUAUUCAAAUGUAUAACACUGAAAAAAACAUCUGACCCAAGAGAAUGAACCUUUAUGAAUCAGCUUGUCCUCGACUUUUCCUUUUACCCCAGAAGCAGGUCAACGUUUUCUCUUUUUCUUUAAAAUAUAUUUAAUUAUUUACAAAACUGAUUGGAUCAAGAACCGUGAUCUCCAAAUGGUGUACCUCAGUGAUGUGUCUGAAUCUUUUUAGGAUACUUCAGCUUUUCUAUCUGAAACAAUCACCAGGUCAGCGGUUCGUAAGCUGUCAAGUCUUUUGAUUUAUGGAUUUAUGACCAAAUUAUAAUUGAGAGCAUGCUUAAGAAUUUGUUUUUGUCGAAAAAAUGCAAAGCUGAGCAAGAAGAGUUCCAGUUUUUAAUGGAAAAAAAACACAAAAGACAAAAUACCUGCUGUAUUUAUGUGCUAUUUAGCCAGUGUAAUUGUGCCAGCAGUAUUCAGACAAAAGACAGCUGACGUGCUGAAUAACAAAACUGCAAGCAUGUAAGCAAACUGAAAUUAGCAUGAGGUUCAGAUGACCUCUUUUUGAGUCAAAGUUAAGCCCGACAGCUGCUCAAAAUCCUGCUGAAUCUUCAUAUAAGCAGCUCAUGCAUGUCCUUUUAUUCCAGGAUUGGUUGUUAUUGUAUAAAGGUGCCAUCUAUCAGUGUAACAGAGUCACUAUAGCAGAGGGUUUGCAACAUCCUGGAGGAUCUUGAUUAGAAAAAAGACGUCCAUAAUAUAAAACACAAGCUGAAGUCCAAUCCAAACAUGUUGAAAACAAAAUAAUUAGCUGCAAAAAGCCAGAAAAACAAAAAGACAAAAUGGGACUUUUAGAAGAAACGGCUUUAUUAUUGACAAGGCUGAGAAGACCACACGCUGAACAUGUACUAUAUGUUAUUAGACUAAGAUUAACCCUGGAACACUUUCGCUGAAAUUAGUAACACGAUCACGAUUGGCGGGUGAUUUUUACCUGAAAUAAUAUACCCAAGAAAAAGAACUUGUUAUCAAAGUAUAUAAAAACAGGACAAUACAUGAUAAAUUAAAGUAGUUUUCUUUUAUUUUUAACUGUGCAAUGUCCAAAAGGAGGGGGAAAAAGUGCCAUGAGGGGACCAUAAAAAAUGCAACUAAAUAAUUGAAAUUAGGCAUUCAUGAACAAAAAAUCUCUAAAAUAUAUAUGUCUAUAUAAACUAUAAACUUAGUUUCUUUUCCACCCAUUCCUGGGACAUGUGAGUCUUCCCUGGUGAAGACUCAGGGUCCUUGGCACAAUAACAGCUGCAGGAGAGAGAACCAAAAUAUGGCAGAUUUUGAGUGAGUAAAAAUGACCAGCUGUCAAAUAUUUCUUAUCACCACAUGAAUUCCCUUGAAAAUCACUACUUUGUGAUAGUUAUUCAUAACCAUUGCGCUAAAUAAAGAUAGCAUGCAAAUUCCAGGACCACUCUUACUGACCUUAUUCCACCUGAACACGUGUCUGUAGGAAAAAGCAGGUUUUGGAUCAGGGAAACAAAUAUGCCUUCAAAGAUGUCAAAGGCGAUGCUGAAGCUACCCAUGAUACUCAGACAAACACAACAUAAUGAAAAUCAUGUUUGGUUGGGUGAAAAUCACCCGGCGAUAGUGUUCUAGGGUUAAACACAACCAGAGCAGAGUGUGUCUGAAGAUCAUGUCCUCAUGUCCACUGUGGCGAAAUGAAACUUUACCAACAUGUUGGUAAAAUCUGCUCAACUUUAUUAGAGGAAUAGUUUCUGAUGGACAGAGAGUACUUUGAGGGAGCAGCUUGUGCUGACACGAGGGGGAAACCAAGUCUACACCUCCACUGUUUCCAAAGAACUAAUUGUUUUUGGACGUACUCUUCUCGCUGUAAUCAGUUUGCUAAAUGAGUCAUUUCCCCUUUUAAUUAAUGCCAGGCUCCCUGUAAAUAAUUUCUGCCUCUGCUGUAAUUCUCUUGUGGCCAAAAGACCUUGUAUGUACAGAACACAAAGGACCCGAACCACUUUAUCAACCCUUGAUAGUCACCAUGGCAACACUGCCAACAUCCAGGCGGCUCAUGAUGUGGACGAUUAGCAGCAAGGAGUCCCAGACAGAUCUGUGGAAUUAGAUAGACUGAACUGAGGGUUAAACCAAACAUGGAAGUCUGAAUACUUAUGCAGCACCGUCCAGUGUUCAAGGCUGCAAAAUAUACACAACUCACACUCUCCUGUGGUGUAAAUCAGGAGCAAUUGAUUUUCCUGCAUGUUUAUCAUUUGUUCUGUAACCCUGCUGCAUAAGGUUGAGAUUCCUCAGAAAGGAGUGUAUAAUAUUACAGUGACUAUCUGCAAACAGCAUGCUGAUAUCUUUGCAGUAUGUGCUGAAAUCCUGCACAAAAAGGUUCAUUUUACCCCCCAGAGGAAUAUCUACACACUGUUCCCCUGAGGUAUGAAUGCAAAUUCAGAUGAAAGUGCUAUUUCAUGCAAUUAUUGAUAGAGCACAGGUAGAGCAAGACACAUUACAGUAUUAUGCAUGACAUCCAAACAUGUAGAUUUUUAAAUGACUGCACCAAAGCAGCUGUGAAAAGAGGCUGACCUGAUAGAAAGUGAGGCUGACCAAAAUGUGUUGAAAUUUCUUGCAAGCAAAGGUUAUGAAAAUGAAUUGCCAUACAGCGUCGUUGUACCACGUCUGGUUGUCUGCAUGACCUUACUUUGUCUUUGCUCAGGUUAGUGCUGUUGCCAGGAUACUAUUUCCUAUGGCAACACUUGAGCUGACGAGGUGAGCAGCGCUGAAAGGAUCCAGAUGAACUUGCUGCUCUGUAUCCUGUGGGCCGGAAGUCCUUAUACGACCAUGGAGAAGUAUGCAGGCGCUUGCACAGAAAAUAAAAAAAAAGAAACUCAGCCCUCAAAGUUCAGUUUGACUCAUUUUUGAGUUUUUCUGAUUAUGAUAACUUCCAGAGCUAUUCAGACGUAAUUCUUGAGGCUUGAAAUAAAUUACUUCUCGACAUCCAAACAGAUAGGCAUGAGUAGCAUGAAAGCACACUCAUUUUCAAAUACAGGAAAGGCGGUCAUAUUACUCUCCUUGAAGGUAAGAGACUCUUGAAAUUUUACCUUGCAGGAUUAGGAAGUUGCUUGUGCACCAUUGCCAUGGUUGCUUAUUGUUAUAUUUAUGUGACUGAGUCAUAUUCUACCUUUCAAAACAUUAGAUUUAUGCAGCAUUACAAAUGAACCAGGAGGCGUUUGACCACUAGACUUGUGUUCUGCAUUAUACAAUUAUUUCUUCUUGCUCAUGUAGUCUCAGAUGCGUUAUGUGAGAAUGCAUCAGCAUCUGCUCUCUUCCUGAAUACCUGAGCUUUCUCUUCAACAACAUUUAUAGCUCUGCAAUAUUCAUUGUUUCUCCCUCAACUCAAUUUCCACCCUCGUUUAAAACAAAAUGAGUCUCGCUCUGGUCCAUCACAAGAGGAGAGGAAACUGUUUUACAGGAAUGCUAUAUGAAUGGUACUUUAUUUCAUACUCAUUGCAGCACACAGGUGAUGCUGCAUGAGAGCAUACUGCCACCAUUUGUUGCAAAGGUGCAACUACAAAAUGCAAAAUAAAGUAGCACAUGAUGUGGUACAUCCGACCUGGAAAAGAGAGUGACCUCUUUUACUUCUGAGAGACACUGUGCGUGUGUUCUCUCUGUGACCUUGUUUGUAAUCUGUUGCACAACUUGUACACUAAAUUCCUAAUUUCCUCAUCCAUGUGUCCUCCCUCUACACCCACAAAUCAGUUCAGAGCACAGCGGCCCAACAAGCUCACAUAAUUCUCUUUUCACAAAAACCUCCACAACAUCAAAGCAGUUCCACAGGAUGCAGCACGUCAUCGCAGCGGAAACGCGCCUACUCUUACGCAUUGACCGUCCACUCUGCUGGACUCAGACGAUGAGAGAGGGAUGUCAGGGACGGUGAGAUCAUACACUGCUGUGCAGAGGUGAGCAUUGUCUGACAGGGAGGACUCUUCAUUACUAGGACUCCAUUAUGACUCAUUUGUACGACAACACCCACAACCUCUCGUUAAGCUGCAGAACAUCCUUUUGUGCUGCUGAGUGUGUGUCAUCCAGCACUCGAGGGAUGAGCACUGGGUUUGAUCAUUUUUUUCUUAUUUGAACACCACACAGGUGUGCUGAAUUGUAGUCACAAAAAUUAAGCUUUAUUGCAAUCAAAUGACUCUUAAUAUUUUUGAGUGUUUUUAACAAAAAGGAGUUUAAAUCUGCAAUUUUUCUCGAUUUCUUACAGUCUGUUUUGUUGUCUGUUGUGAGCUCGACAUAUAUUGAAAUAAAGUAAACAGAAUUGUAAAUACACCCUGCAGAAAAGCCACAAAGUUUAUCAUGAAAAAUACUAAUUUGCCUUUUUAAUUGUGUAAAACAGUGAUAUCAACUUAUAGAAAAGUUUAAUUAUGUGACAUGCAAAUUAAGCAACACUUUAUUUUCUGGAUCCCUGCUUACUUUUUAUUCUCUGCUAAUAAGAGGAAUUUGAUUUAAGGGAUUUGCAAGUAUGAUUUAGAGUCUUAAGUCCAAAGCAAGUCAGUUUAACAUGUAAAAUAAAGCCAUUUUUGAAGGCCACCCUUUUAAAAUAUUUUACCAACUUAAAUCCCAAGACUGGUGACCAGUCGUUUCAAAUGUUGUGUAAGAUGUAAGAGUGUAAGAUCAGAUCAUUUUUAAUUGAUCGUCAGUUAGCGAAAAUAAAUUGAGAGGGAAGAAUGAUCGACAUGGUAAACUGUGUCAAAUCAUCAGAGGUGUCUUGCAGAAUUUGACACAUUUAUCUUAUCUUAUUGGAUGUUUUUAAUGAAUAUAUCUUUGACCAAUUAACCAGUUGGGUUGAUCACUAUUUCAUUUUAAUUUAAUCAUCUGGUUGUUACUGAUCCCAAAAUGUUAAGUUCACCAUUUUUUUCUGUUUACACUCAUUCUGUUGGUUUGCAGGGAUGCACAACAUCUUGAAAUAUAUACAGAUACACUAGUUAGAGACAAAACUAUGAUUGCCUUAAUGUAGUGAUCCGAAUUAAAUGAAAAAUGGCUCAUCUUACCCCACUCUCCCCUACAAUGUGAUUGAUUGAUUGAGUCUCCCCCUC